UUAGAAAUGCCACAUCUGAGUUUGUUGAUC
rnacentral:piRNA from 1 species